CCUACGGGAGGCUGCAGUGAGGAAUAUUGGUCAAUGGGCGGGAGCCUGAACCAGUCAUGCCGCGUGAAGGCGAGUGCCCUACGGGCGUUAAACUUCUUUUGUGCGGGAGCAAUAAGGGCCACGUGUGGCCCGAUGAGAGUACCGCACGAAUAAGCAUCGGCUAACUCCGUGCCCGCAGCCGCGGUAAUACGGGGGAUGCGAGCGUUAUCAGGAUUUAUUGGUGUUAAGGGGUGCGUAGGCGGCGCUUCAGGUCAGCGGGGAAAUACCGGGGCUCAACCCCGGGGCUGCCGUUGAAACCGGAGCGCUAGAAGUCCGAUGCCGUCGGAGGAAUGUGUGGUGUAGCGGGGAAAUGCAUAGAGAUCACACAGAACACCGAUUGCGAAGGCAUCUGACGAAUCGGAGAUUGACGCUGAUGCACGAAAGCGUGGGUAUCGAACAGGAUUAGAUACCCGGGUAGUC
rnacentral:rRNA from 1 species